rnacentral:sRNA from 1 species
GACGAAUGCUGCAAUACCUAACUGUGAACGAUUUACUCUUCUUAAAAGUCACCAGCCAACUACAUCAUCUCAGCAUCAAAUGUGCCAUUCACGUGCUGCAUGUCAACAAGUUCAACCCCCACUGCCUGCACCGGCGGCCAGCUGAUGAGAGUAACCUUUCUCCUUCAGAAGUUGUACAGUGGUCCAACCACAGGGUGAUGGAGUGGUUACGAUCUGUGGACCUGGCAGAGUAUGCACCCAAUCUUCGAGGGAGUGGAGUCCAUGGAGGCCUCAUUGUGAGUGGCUCUCUGGCCUAGCCCACCUGCCUU